UAGCAAUAUUCGCCAGUCAUAGUGGCGCAAGGGUGCGUAACACGUGGGCAAUUUGCCGCGAAGACUGGGAUAACCGCGAGAAAUCGUGGCUAAUACCGGAGAUGUGACUCCUGGAAGGCAUCAAUCAGGAUUCAAAGCUGGGGAGCUGGCGAAAGUCAGUUCUGGCGCUUCGCGAUAAGCCCGCGGCCUAUCAGCUUGUUGGCGGGGUAACGGCCCACCAAGGCUAAGACGGGUAGCUGGUCUGAGAGGACGACCAACCACACUGGAACUGAGACACGGUCCAGACACCUACGGGUGGCAGCAGUCGAGAAUUUUUCACAAUGGGCGAAAGCCUGAUGGAGCGACGCCGCGUGGGGGAUGAAUGGCUUCGGCCCGUAAACCCCUGUCAUUCGCGAACAAACCUCCGGCAUGAAUAGUGUCGGAGUUGAUGGUAGCGGAAGAGGAAGGGACGGCUAACUCUGUGCCAGCAGCCGCGGUAAUACAGAGGUCCCAAGCGUUGUUCGGAUCCACUGGGCGUAAAGGGUGCGUAGGUGGUCGGGUAAGUUUGAGGUGAAAGCUCCGGGCUCAACCCGGAAAUGGCCUUGAAUACUAUCCGGCUCGAGGGUUGGAGGGGGGACUGGAAUUCACGGUGUAGCA
rnacentral:rRNA from 1 species